GGAAUUUUGCGCAAUGGGGGAAACCCUGACGCAGCAGCGCCGCGUGACCGAUGAAGCCCUUCGUGGUGUAAAUGUCUGUCAGUGGGGACGAAUUUUGACGGUACCCACAGAGGAAGCAUCGGCUAACUCCGUGCCAGCAGCCGCGGUAAUACGGGGGAUGCAAGCGUUGUCCGGAAUCAUUGGGCGUAAAGAGUUCGUAGGUGGUUUGUUAAGUUAGGUGUUAAAUUCCGAGGCUCAACUUCGGUAUGGCACUUGAUACUGGCAGACUUGAAUGCAGCAGAGGUAAAGGGAAUUCCUGGUGUAGCGGUGAAAUGCGUAGAUAUCAGGAGGAACAUCGGUGGCGAAAGCGCUUUACUGGACUGUAAUUGACACUGAGGAACGAAAGCCAGGGUAGCAAAUG
rnacentral:rRNA from 1 species